GUUUGGAAUAACACGGGGAAACUUGUGCUAAUACUGAAUAAGCCUUUACAGGGAAAGCUUUAGCGCCAAAAGAUGAGCCCGCACUUGAUUAGCUAGUUGGUAAGGUAAAAGCUUACCAAGGCUACGAUCAAUAGCUGAUCUGAGAGGAUGAUCAGCCACAUUGGGACUGAGACACGGCCCAAACUCCUACGGGAGGCAGCAGUGGGGAAUCUUGCACAAUGGGGGAAACCCUGAUGCAGCGAUGCCGCGUGAGUGAAGAAGGCCUUUGGGUUGUAAAGCUCUUUCGUCGGGGAAGAAAAUGACUGUACCCGAAUAAGAAGGUCCGGCUAACUUCGUGCCAGCAGCCGCGGUAAUACGAAGGGACCUAGCGUAGUUCGGAAUUACUGGGCUUAAAGAGCUCGUAGGUGGUCAGAAAAGUUGGUGGUGAAAUCCCAAGGCUUAACCUUGGAACUGCCACCAAAACUUUUUGACUAGAGUAUGAUAGAGGUAAGCGGAAUUUCUAGUGUAGAGGUGAAAUUCGUAGAUAUUAGAAAGAACACCAAUUGCGAAGGCAGCUUUCUGGAUCAUUACUGACACUGAGGUGCGAAAGCAUGGGUAGCGAAGAGGAUUAGAUACCCUCGUAGUCCAUGCUGUAAACGAUGUGUGUUAGACGUUGGAAUUUAUAUUUCAGUGUCGCA
rnacentral:rRNA from 1 species